AUAACAUCUGGACUAUCGGUCUAGUGAGCAAUUUCAAUCGCUCGAUGGAAGGUCUUCUCUUUGCCAU
rnacentral:pre_miRNA from 1 species